rnacentral:rRNA from 1 species
AGUGAACGCUGGCGGUAGGCCUAACACAUGCAAGUCGAACGGCAGCACAGUAAGAGCUUGCUCUUACGGGUGGCGAGUGGCGGACGGGUGAGGAAUACAUCGGAAUCUACUUUUUCGUGGGGGAUAACGUAGGGAAACUUACGCUAAUACCGCAUACGACCUACGGGUGAAAGCAGGGGAUCUUCGGACCUUGCGCGAUUGAAUGAGCCGAUGUCGGAUUGGCUAGUUGGCGGGGUAAAGGCCCACCAAGGCGACGAUCCGUAGCUGGCCUGAGAGGAUGAUCAGCCACACUGGAACUGAGACACGGUCCAGACUCCUACGGGAGGCAGCAGUGGGGAAUAUUGGACAAUGGGCGCAAGCCUGAUCCAGCCAUACCGCGUGGGUGAAGAAGGCCUUCGGGUUGUAAAGCCCUUUUGUUGGGAAAGAAAAGCAGCAGGUUAAUACCCCGCUGUUCUGACGGUACCCAAAGAAUAAGCACCGGCUAACUUCGUG